UGCCCACUGAUGAUUUAUUAAAGGGCCGCGGUAUUUUGACCGUGCAAAGGUAGCAUAAUCAUUAGUCUUUUAAUUGAAGGCUGGUAUGAAUGGUUUGACGAGAUAUAAGCUGUCUCUGUAUAAUAAUAUAUAAUUUAACUUUUGAGUCAAAAGGCUUAAAUAAAUAUAAAAGACGAGAAGACCCUAUAGAGCUUUAUAUAUAAUUGUAACUUGUAUUAUUUGGAGGUAUUGUAAAUAAGUAUGAAUUAUAUGUUUUGUUGGGGUGACAUGAAGAUAUAAUAAACUCUUUAUUAUUUAAACAUUGAUUUAUGAUUAAUUGAUCCAUUAUUAAUGAUUAUAAGAUAAAGUUACCUUAGGGAUAACAGCGUAAUUUUUUUUGAGAGUUCUUAUCGACAAGAAAGAUUGCGACCUCGAUGUUGGAUUAAGGAAUAUGACUAGGUGUAGAAGUUUA
rnacentral:rRNA from 1 species